rnacentral:tRNA from 1 species
AGCCUUGAGGUGUUUACCAUAUCAGAUUGCAAAUCUGAAGAAGCAGAUUAAACGUCUGCCGGGGCUU